GGUGUAAAUACAAUUCUCUCAGACAGUAAGGCUAGAGAAUAAGAUGGUGAAUUUGUAUUUCAUUUGAGAUAAUCUUAAAGAGCUUGAAAAUUAGAGGAGAAAAAAAUAGGUAAAUGUGAGUACAGGAGUUUUUCUAGAAUGUUUCAUAUUCUGCCAGUUCUAAAGAGCCUCCUGAAGGGACAGAUGCUUUUCACUUAUUGUCUAUUAUGUUUUCAGUGGAUUAGGAAUAAGAAUCUUGCUCAAGGAAUCCUGCAAUGUACUUGUAGUCACUAGGAUUCCUAUCAUGUUUUUUAUUCUUGGUGGAAGCAAAUGGUUGUCAUGUGACUAGGAAUUAUGGCUCUCAUUUUUGAACACUAUUAAUGCCCCAGAAAGUCAAGGUUUUCACCUAAGAAAAAAUGUAAACUUAAAUUGGGGAAUAAUAAUGUCCAGUAAAACUGUGUCUAAGUUACAUUGAAAGAGAGGUUAAGGAAUUUUAAAAAGGUAAUAUUAUCCCCUAAAGGAAACUGUUUUAGGUUAUUUGAUAUUACAUGAAGGCAAAACAUUUCUUCUUUUAUGUUUGGAGAAAACAAACGAAUGAAACGUGUACCAAUUACAUUUUUACUAGUCACUGCUGACAGAUUCAACUUCAUAUUGAUUCCAUUUAUGAAACCUGAACUGAUACCCCCUUUUGUGACUCAAUGAAGCUCUGCCAAUCUGCAGUGGGUCUAACAAUGUGCUGGGAGACAGAUGCGUAUAUGGAAUGUAGACAAGGACCAGAGGGAAAAAGUUACUGAAAACAGGAAUACCUAAAUUUUUAACCCACUGUUGGGAAAUUACAUCCAGGGAGGCAGCGCUGAAUUUUACUGUAAAAUUCUAAGAAAGAAGGAGGUCACCAAAGAAGGGCCUCAAUAAAAUAAAAUGGAGGCAAUUGAAAGCUUGGCAAGCAGAAAUGCAUGUCUGGGUAAUUCUAUUAAUAUGGGAUUUCAAGGGAGUAGUGUAUGAAAGAAGAGACUCAGAUAAAGAAACUUAGAACUAGAGAGGUCAAACAGUUUAGCUCUUAUUUCAUUUCUAAUACAUCUAGGGCAACUUCUGGCUGUCAGUCUGUAGCUCUUUUACUACAUUUGGUCCUUCUUUUCCUUUAAAGAGAAAGCCUUUUCUCAGAAGCAACACUGAAGCAAGUCAACAAGGGAAUCUCUAUGGACAGAAACAUGGAGGGUGUUAUAAAUAAAUAUGGAGCGUCUCCCUUCUACUCAGCCUAUUUCUGACACCCUCUGGAUCAAGGACUUGUAAUGAGGAAGGGGAAGCAAGGUUGUGAACAGUCUUAUGGAGAUGAUCACAUGGGGAGGAAAUCAAGCCUCUUGCAGUCCUCCUGAGCCUGGAAGAAGAUCCUUUAGUCCCAGGAGGUGCUGAAAUGUUCAAAGUUGGCAUGUAAUGCAGUGGGACAGAAAGAUCUCUUUGGUAAUCAUUUGAUUGGAGCAGGAGGAGAUUCCUGACAGGAAGAGCACAUAGGAUGCAUGGAAAUCACCCAGGCAAGAUAAGAGCCCUGACUGAUAGACUCUUCACCUUAACUGUGAUAUAAAAUGCAAAGUACAAAUUUCACUGGAAUAAGACUUUUUACUUCAACUGCAACAACACUACUGAUAUUCAGAAUUUGGGCAUCUGAUAUGGGCUUCUAUGAAUUAUGGUGCUCAUGAGGCCAAAAGCUUUAAACCAUGUAAUACCUUUCAAGGGUAACUGCACAUUCUCCAGCUACCCACUAUGUACAAGGUAAUCAAUGUUUCAUUGGAUUUAGCAGAUGUAAAGGUUGGCCCCAAAAUGUGCAGCAGACAACUGUGAAUGCCAUGUACACUAGUACUUCCAUGAGGAAAUAAAAGAGAUAACUAGAAAAGGUCACUUUAACAUAUUUACGUACUAAUAGACUUUCCUCUGUGCUCUAUUUAAAAUUAAAUGUCUAUGCUGGACACUUCAAUAUAACCUCUAGUUGCAAGCAAAUGUCGUUGGAUUGUUACUUAGCUUUCUAUCACAGCAAAAGUCUCACUCACUCGUAAUUGCUAGUUUAUUUUACCAUUUCUUCCUCUAAACUGAGAUCCUUAGAGCCUUUGUGUUUUUCCAUAUACCCCUUUCCAUCAUUAGGCACAGUACUUGACACCUAAUAAACAUUCAGUGUAAGGUUUUUUGGUUUUUUUUUUUCCUGAUGAGUGGCUAAAUCAUAGAUUCAUUAAUCUAAAUUUCCAAAUAUUAUUUCUGCCUGUGGGCAGUGCCAUUAAGAAGUCAUUAUCUAGGGACACUUGGGUAGCUCAGUCGGUUAAGUUUCGAACUUCAGCUCAGAUCAUGAUCUCACAGUUCAUGAGUUGGAGACCUGUGUCA